rnacentral:lncRNA from 1 species
UGGUAUUCAAAUUCAUAGAUCCAAAUGGAUAUGAAGUCAUUAACUACUGCGCAAAGAUGGGCUAACACAAUAAUCAGUAAUUGAUGUUGCCUAACAGAAAUUAACUCAUAUGUUACCGAGUAUUUGACUCAUUUUAAACGAACAAAUAACAACACAUAUGGUCAAAUUAGAACCACUCAGUAAGCAAAUAAAUAGGCUGGAAUUAUGACACGGUAUCAAAACAGCUGAUCUUCAUUCAUCAAUUCAAUUAGAUGGCUUAAAAUGUGAAACAUACCUAGAGAUGAAUUCAGCAACAAGGAAUAACCAAAUAAAACUUAGAAGCAGAAGAUGAAGCUCAGUUAACAAUCCCCAGCAACAAUCGGCAGAGAAAAAAAAUACUUCCAACAGCCCAAAAGACCCUUUAACUUUCCAGAAAUACCAAAUGAAGGAGCAAGGCUUCGAAACAGCUUUCUUUUCCAGAUAACCUUGUUUUAAUGAAGGAGGUCUGUGAUGGAGCGGCUAGGGUGUGCUGUAUUUUUAUUUUGAGAAGGGGAGUCUGUUUGGAGAUGACGGAGGAAUAAGGGGCGGCUGCUUGGUUUUUUUUCCAGAAAA